CGAACGGGUGAGUAUCACGUGAGAAACCUGUCCCGAAGACUGGAAUAACCCGAGGAAACUCGGGCUAAUACCGGAUAUCCCCACCGGAUCGCAUGGUCUGGUGAGGAAAUGCUCCGGCGCUUCGGGAGGGUCUCGCGGCCUAUCAGCUAGUUGGUGAGGUAACGGCUCACCAAGGCAUCGACGGGUAGCUGGUCUGAGAGGACGAUCAGCCACACUGGGACUGAGACACGGCCCAGACUCCUACGGGAGGCAGCAGUGGGGAAUCUUGCGCAAUGGGCGAAAGCCUGACGCAGCCACGCCGCGUGAGGGAUGAAGGCUUUCGGGUUGUAAACCUCUUUCAGCAGGGACGAAAAUGACGGUACCUGCAGAAGAAGCCCCGGCCAACUACGUGCCAGCAGCCGCGGUAACACGUAGGGGGCAAGCGUUGUCCGGAUUUAUUGGGCGUAAAGAGCUCGUAGGCGGUUCAGUAAGUCGGGUGUGAAAACUUGAGGCUCAACCUCAAGAGGCCACUCGAUACUGCUGUGACUGGAGUCCGGUAGAGGAGUGUGGAAUUCCUGGUGUAGCGGUGAAAUGCGCAGAUAUCAGGAGGAACACCGACAGCGAAGGCAGCACUCUGGGCCGGUACUGACGCUGAGGAGCGAAAGCAUGGGGGAGCGAACAGGAUUAGAUACCCUGGUAGUCCAUGCCGUAAACGUUGGGCACUAGGUGUGGGGUCUAGCUAACAGAUUCCGUGCCGCAGCUAACGCAUUAAGUGCCCCGCCUGGGGAGUA
rnacentral:rRNA from 1 species